rnacentral:rRNA from 1 species
GGGGAAUUUUCCGCAAUGGGCGAAAGCCUGANCGGAGCAAUACCGCGUGAGGGAGGAAGGCUCUUGGGUUGUAAACCUCUUUUCUACAGGGAAUAAGAANCUGAAGGUACCUGAGGAAUCAGCAUCGGCUAACUCCGUGCCAGCAGCCGCGGUAAUANCGGAGGAUGCAAGCGUUAUCCGGAAUGAUUGGGCGUAAAGCGUCCGCAGGUGGUUUAUCAAGUCUGCUGUCAAAGAGUUUGGCUCAACCAAAUAAAGGCAGUGGAAACUGACAGACUGGAGUGCGGUAAGGGCAGAGGGAAUUCCUGGUGUAGCGGUGAAAUGCGUAGAGAUCAGGAAGAACACCGGUGGCGAAAGCGCUCUGCUGGGCCGUAACUGACACUGAGGGACGAAAGCUAGGGGAGCGAAUGGGAUUAGAUACCCCAGUAGUC